GCAGCGGGCGGCAGCGCUAGGCCUGGCGCGGUAGGGAGGCCCGGCGAUGCAGAGCAAGAAGUAUAAUGCGCGGUUCCUGCCAGGGCGGAUCAAGAUGAUCCUCCAGACGGACGAGGAGAUUGGGAAGGUGGUGGCAGCUGUGCCUGUCAUCAUCUCCCGGGCGCUCCAGCUCUUUCUGGAGUCGCUGUUGAAGAAGGCCUGCCAGGUGACCCAGUCCCGAAACGCCAAGACCAUGACCACAUCCCACCUGAAGCAGCAGUGCAUUGACCUGGAGCAGCAGUUUGACUUCCUGAAGGACCUGGUGGCAUCUGUGCCUGACAUGCAGGGUGAUGGAGAAGACAGCCACAUGAACGGGGUCAAGGGUGCCUGCACAUGGACUGUACUUUCCCGAAAGGGUCGGAAGCCAGGAAGCAGCAGCCGGAAGAAUGGUGGGAUGGGAAGCAAAAGCAAGGACAAAAACUGUUGGGGACAGACUCAGAGCAGGAGGAUGAGUCUGAGGACACAGAUACUGACGGGGAAGAGGAAACACCGCAGCUGCCACCCAGGUCAGCCACCCCCCUGGCCACUUUCAGAGCCCCCUGACACCCUUCCUGCCCUUCGCCUCUAGUCUGCCUUUGCCUCCAGGGCCCCCUGGCCCCUCAGCACCCGACGGAGGGGAUGAAGAAGAUUAUGACUCCUAGCACCCUCUGCCCCCCAGGACAUACCCUCUUUUAGUUGGUUUCAGUUGCUCUGGGGGGAGGAGAGAAGAUAGAACAGUUCUUAAAUUUAUUAAAAAUAAACAAUAAAAGGGAA